ACUGAUAUGGGCGAUGGAGUCCGCCUGAGACUGCUGUCAGAGCUAAUGACUCCUUUUUGUUA
rnacentral:ncRNA from 2 species